CAAUGGCCCACGCAACAGGCGUCAACAUUGCGUGGAGUACAGAGUACAGUGUUGAUCAUCAAUCAAGCAACAAAGCCCUUUUUACAUCAGCAGGAAUUACUUUUACAGUAGCCUAAUCCCAGUACUCCAAAUAGCAAGCAGAAGCACAGUGGCCAGGAACAAUUCAAUGUCAACGAUCUUUAUAAAGUUGUUUGAAGCGUCUAUGAUGAACAGAGACCGAAUGAGAAGGAAGGGAAGUUGACGUCCCUGGGAUGUCGUCACUUCAUUAUUGUGCGCACAUGCGCGUUCAUGUGAGGCGAGACCUUUUUCAAAACGUGUUUCAAGACACAGGAGAGGUCGGGUUGAAAUAUUACUGAUGUCUCACGUUAAAAAUGGACCAAAAGAUUGAUGCUAAACAACGUUUGACAUGUUUGAACGAACGUAAAUAGAUUUUUUUUUGUACUUUUCGUCGUGACUUUUCCCUCCCGCGCCGUACAUUUUGAGUAGCCUACCGAACGCGCUAACAACACGGAACAGCAUGGAGUUAUUUGGACAUAAAUUAUGAACUUCAUCAGAAAAAAACAACAUUUGUUGUGGACCUGAGAUUCCUGGAAGUGCCUUCUGAUGAAGAUUAUUAAAGGUAAGGGAAUAUUGCUAAUGCUAUUUAUGGUUUUAGAUGAUUCCAACAUGGCGGCUAUCUGUAUAGCCUAGUGUAUUUUUCUGACCAGAGUACUCAGAUUAUUGCAAAGUAUGCUUUCCCAGUAAAGUUAUUUUGAAAUCUGUCAAUCUGUCAAUUCUCCUGAAUGCAACCGUUAUUCUUUGAAUAACAGUUUAAUACUUUAACCACGUUUUAUAAUAAGUAUUUUUUGUAAAUUCACUGGCAGUUUUGGGGGAGACACACUUUCUCAACGACACGCGCCGAUGUAAAAUGCUGUUUUUGGAUAUAAAUAUGAACUUGAUAGAACAAAAAUGCAUGUAUUGUCUAACAUAAUGUCCUAGGAGUGUCAUCUGAUGAAGAUUGUCAAAGGUUAGUGCAUAAUUAUAGCUGGUUUUCUGCUUUUGGUGAUGCCUGUCCUUGAAUUGAAAAUGGAUGUGUGUACUUUUUUGGCUAUGUACUCUCCUAACAUAAUCUAACUUUAUGCUUCGCCGUAAAGCCUCUUUAAAAAUCGGACAAUGUGGUUCGAUUAAGGAGAUGUUUAUCUUUUAAAUGGUGUAAAAUAGUUGAUUGUUUGAGAAAUUGAAAUUAUUCGAUUUUUGAUGUUUUGAAUUUCCCGCCAUGCUAGCAAUCCCGUCAGUGGGAUUAGGUUACCCUCGAUCCCCAAGAGGUUUUAAAGAGCAACAAUAAAAUAACAGUAAGGAGGCUAUAUACAGGGGGUACCGGUACAGAGUCAAUGUGCGGGGGCACAGGCUAGUUGAGGUAAUUGAGGUAAAAUGUACAUUACCAGUCAAAAGUUUGGGCACACCUGCUCAUUCAGGGGUUUUUCUUUAUUUUUUACUAUUUUCUUGUAGGAUAAUAGUGAAGACGUCAGAACAAUGAAAUAACACAUAUGGAAUCAUGUAGUAACCAAAAAGUGUUAAACAAAUCAAAGUUGAAUUUAGAUUCUUCAAAGUAGAAACCCUUUGCCUAAUGACAGCUUUGCACACUCUUGGCAUUCUCUUAACCAGCUUCACCUGAAAUGCUUUUCCAACAGUCUUGAAGGAGUUCCCACAUAUGCUGAGCACUUGUUGGCUGCUUUUCCUUCACUUUGAGUGUGCAAAGCUGUCAUCAAGGCAAAGGGUGGCUAUUUGAAAAAUCUCAAAUGUAAAAUAUAUUUUGAUUUGUUUAAUACUUUUUUGGUUACUACAUGAUUCCAUAUGUGCUAAACAGUUUUAGCUAAACAGUUGGGGCUCAAAACAGGUGCCCUGAAUGAUGGGUCUCCACUGAUUUGUUCUAUAUCGCUAUCUGUUCUAUGUUCUAUAUUUCUAUCUGUUUUUUAUCUGUUCUAUAUCUGUUCUAUAUCUCUAUAUGUUCUAUAUCUCUAUCUGUUCUACAUCUGUUUUAUCUGUUCUAUAUCUCUAUCUGUUGUAUAGCUGUCCUAUAUCUAUAUAUGUUCUCUAUCUGUCCUAUAUCUCUAUCUGUUUUAUAUCUAUAUAUGUUCUAUAUCUGUUCUUUAUCUCUAUUUGUUCUAUAUCUUUAUCUGUUCUAUAUCUCUAUCUGUCCUAUAUCUCUAUCUGUUUUAUAUCUGUUCUAUAUCUCUAUCUGUUCUAUAUCUGUAUAUGUUCUAUAUCUAUAUCUGUUCUUUAUCUCUAUGUGUUUUAUAUCUGUUCUAUAUCUAUAUCUGUUCUAUAUCUUUUCUAUAUCUCUAUCUGUUUUAUAUCUCUAUCUGUUCUAUAUCUGUUCUAAAUCAAUAUCUGUUCUGUAUCUAUAUCUGUUCUAUAUCUGUUUUUUUUUUUUAUCUCUGUCUGUUCUUUAUCUAUCUGUUUUAUAUCUGUUCUAUGUCUAUAUCUGUUCUAUAUCUCUAUCAGUUCUAUAUCUGUUCUAAAUCUGUCUGUUCUAUAUCUAUAUCUGUUCUAUAUCUGUUCUUUCUCUAUCGGUUCUAUAUCUGUUCAAUAUCUCUAUCUGUUCAAUAUCUCUAUCUGUUCAAUAUCUCUAUCUGUUCAAUAUCUCUAUCUGUUCUAUAUCUCUCUGUUCUAUAUCUCUAUCAGUUCAAUAUCUCUAUCAGUUC
rnacentral:lncRNA from 1 species